AAAUAAACGUGCCAUUAAUAUUAUUUAGUAACAAUACUUAUUGUAUUUAUAAUCCAAAAUGUAACUUUCAUAACUUUUUCUUAUCAAUAAUAUUCAUCGAUGAAUCAGCGAUGAAUUUUUUUAUCUAUAAAACCACUACUCUGUUUACUUUGAAAUAGUAAUCAAUGACACUUUCAAGGUAUUCAUGAAAUUUGUGGUUUUGUUAUUACGUUUCACAAAAAGAAAGGUUACAAAGAACUUAAUUUAACGGAACAAAUAAGUAAAGUACAAAUUAACUCGACCACCCUAUUUAUUUACCCUUUGAAAACAAAUCGCGACGUUUAAUUAAACCCCCUCAGGCGUUUUUAUAAAUCGAUUUUUCUGCAAGGAAUCACACUUAUUAUCCAACUUUGAAACGAACAUCAUGUUACGCCACUGGUUAAUAUUGUAUCUAAUCGUGGUAACUCCAAUUAUGGGUUAUCCUGUUGUUAUUACAUUAAAAAAUGUGGAAAAUGAGGAACCAAAUUAUGGAAUAAUUUUAGCCCGGUUGAAACGGAAUGAGAUAACUUCAUCCGUGCAGGAUUUAAAACAUAUAUUAAGGCUUGGAUAAUGUUGUGUAUAAUUUAAUAAAUUUGUUUUGUAAAGAUAGACAUUUUCAUUUGCUGUCAGAUAAAGGAGUGAUUUUGGGGUUAAUUUAAGCAGGAAAUGCAUCCCGGUUGUUAUUGGACUGUCGAAGGCAGAGAACGAAGAAUUAACCUAUCCGCUGGAGAAGUUGAUUUUUCGAUCGUAAGUCGAAGGUAUUUUUUUUGUUCUUUCUUUUUCAUCCGGAUGGCACCAAAGAAGCCGCUGAAGAAGGUGGGGGACACUCCCCGUGCCCUCCCGCAGGCAGAUGUUCGUUGUGAAGUGCCGCGAGGUCAGACCAAAGAGGCCGUUUGCCGCCUCUAAAACAGGACCGUAAUAAAGAUUUUACACAUUUUAUUCAAAGAUAUCAAAAAAACACUUUCUUUUUUCUUUCUUUCUAUUUUUCGUGGUGUGUGAAAGAAAGGCAUAGUUUUUACCGGUUAACACCGUUUCGCACUUAGGACGGGGUCGGGCGGAAAGCGGGGCAAAUUAAUUAUUUAGAGCGGUGUCGCUCGGCUCUUUUUCACUAUUCAUGAGGGUGAGUGAGUGAGCGAGCUCGAGGGCUUUCCGGGACACUUGACUCCCGCGGGAGUUGAGGCGCGAGGUGACGCCUUCCUCGGCGGAAGAAAUUUCCCAACCGGAAAAGGGGAAAAUCGUAAAACAUUUUCACCGACGACCAGAUCGGAAUUUAAUAAACUUUCGCUUUACGGUUGACCACAAGACAUAUUCCUGCAAAAUUUUUUACACAUAUUAUAUUCAAUUGAAUUAGCACUCGAAAAGUAUUGCUGUUUAUUUCAUCUAUCAAGAUGGACAGUUCCAAUAUCAUCUUCGGCUUGCAUGUUGAACCAUCUAUGGGUGAUAAUUCGAAUCAAAUAUUCAAGCAAACCCAACCCAACCCCAUCUAGUGGCGAGUAGAUGUUCUAUUAAACGUUAAAGUAUAAUAAAAAGAAUCUUAAGUUCCACAAUCUCUUAGUUGUGAUCUAUCUAAUGAACUAAUUUGUGAUAUAACUACUAAUGUCAAUCAAAUGCGUUUGUCGCACUUCGGACUUCUCUUCCUUUGGUAGUAAUUAGUCAAAAACCACAGUAAAUGCUUCAUCAUUUACUUCAUUCAUCAUUUACAUCAUUAACAACAAAUCUAUGACCUAGAAUAAAUUCAUAUACUCGUCUUUUAUUACAUAGAGUAUAUUAUUUUAUGACAUAUUUAGCUCGUUAGGGUUGGGUUGGGUUACAUUAUUACUUGGAUGCAGGGUAUCAUCAUCGGCUCAACAAUCCAUUUUGAAUCGUUGCCCGCUCUAAAAUCUAUUCUGCCCGGUCUCUAGCAACGUCCCAUCAUCUGGAUACCUUCAGGGUAUUGAGGUCAACCUCUACAGUAUCCAUCCAACACAUACAGAGGCGUUAUUGAGUUGCUGCUAUAAGCUUCUCAAAAGGCUUAUCCUAAGCGGGAUUCCCAAAGACUUGUUUCAGAACAGUUUCAAGUUUCAGAACACAAUGAAGCUGCACCUACCAAGUGCUUUGCCAAAUUAAGUUGUUGGCAAAGAGUUGCUUGGCGUGUCUCUAGUGGCAACUAUAAUAAUAAGCCCCGUGAUACCGAAUGUUUUUUGUCAACAAUUAGGCAUCAUAUCAACAUUAGAAAAAUCCUGUAUAUACAAGAAAUACAUAAUAUACACAAUUUGCUAAGCUGGGAUUUCAAUGGGAAUUAAAUGGGUUAGAUUUGAACCCUUGAAUGUUAGUGUGAGGCAGGAUGAUAGUCUCACCUCACUGCUCUUCAACAUCUUAAUGGACGGGAUGAUAAAGCAAGAUGAACCAAGACGAAAAAGGUAAUGAAAUCAAAAAAUGUAUCCCGUCGCACGAAGAUAAGAAUAUAUCAUUCAUUUAUAAGACCUCUAAUGACGUUUACAUGGAUGAGAACUGACUAAAAAUUGCUUACUUUUGGGAGGAAACCGAGGAUGCGGUGGGGAGAUAAUAUUGCAGUGAAUCUUAAAUAUCAAACGACCAGUUGGAUUGCAGCAAAUGGAGGGAAAUUGCAAAGUCGAAGUGAAGAUGUAAACUUGAUAGAUAUAAACGAGAUAUAAUAUAUAAAUUUUCUGCACAUCGGCAAUCAUAUCAACAAUCACAUAUCAACAAGAUAGUGAUUUUGUAGCAAUUACUGGAAAUACAUUCUUGUAAAAGAGAAGAAGCAAAAAAAUUCGGGGAAAAUGCGAAAUUUGUGAAUCUUCGAAUGGAUAGAAAUAGACUGUUAAGGAUUGGCAGAGAUUGCAGAUAAGCAUCCAAAAUUCCACAAUGACGACCUCCAAAAAGAUAGAAAGAUAGCUGAUACAAGAAAUACAGGCAGAAUAAACUGGAGAGAACAAACCACUAUGGCUUACGAAGAAAAGAAGAAGUGAUGCAUCGUUGUGUACUUGGAUGGUUCGUAAAUAUACAGGGUCUUCCAACUAAAGUUUUUCAUUUUAAAUUAAAAGAAAACACGGUAUUUGGAUCUCUGAGAUUAACAAUAUUUGCGACCACAUCGGCUUUGCUUAAAGACAUGGUCGUUGUUUUGAUGAAAUUUUUCUUGAAAGUCUUAAACAGUCCUUCUAAAUUUCGAGAAAUUACACGUCAAAGUAAUAAAAUAAUCGUUUCACUAGCAAUGUGGCAUGUUACGACAUUGUGACAGCGUCGUCCACCAUAUUCAUAGCAUCAAUUUCGAGCCAAAAAAUCAGUUAUCGUAGUUCGGCAACACAGUCCAUCACUGCAACGGUAACUCCAGCAUCAUUUCCGAAGUGGUAAGAUCACUCAACCAACCUAAAAAUCGUGCCAAACUGUCACUCAUUGUUGAUAUAGUGUUUGCUCAACCACUUGUUUUGGAUUCUCCUUCGGAGCUUCAAAUCUGACAAUUUUGCUUGCUGACAUAAUCAAUCAAUCAGCGAUCUUGUGGCUUUAAUUCUUGCAUAAGCUGGACUUUGUAAGCAAAAUACGGUGCAAACUAGGUUUUGAUAAGUCUAAUUGUUGUCGAGGCGUCAUAAUCAGUACUCGUUAAUCUUAAUGCUUAAGAGUUAUUGCUUAUCAAUGCUUGGUACACAAAAUUAUUACGUUCUGACAAAUUCCACUCUUACAUGUCAAUAAUCCUUAUCUUUGAAUGACACUGACAUUUAAUUUCAUAACCUACAAAUUUUGGGUUAGUGUUAAUUUUUUUCUGAAUAUCACUACUUAAAAGAUUGUGUUACGUGAUUACCAAUCCACAUUAAAAUUGAUGUUCAUUUGAUAAACAAUUUUUUUUGCACGAUUAUUUAUUGAAGCGGUAUUUUGAAAGUGUCGGUAAAGAUCAAAAGACGACGUCUCAAGGUUAAUUCGCCGCUUUUAUCAAUUGCAUAUACGCGGAGAACUCCGCCUAUAGUGUUUUUUGCGUUCAACUAAUUUUAGAUGGCUACGUUCUGGCCUUAUCGCCAACUCAAACCCAACCACCGCUUGCCUUGCCUUGCCUUUCCUCCUCCAUCUCUCGAAUUGCGGCGGGCGCCAUCCGGGGAUUUAUCAAUGAACACUCGAUAC
rnacentral:lncRNA from 1 species